rnacentral:lncRNA from 1 species
CAGCUAACGGUUUGGAACAAAUGCAGUAUAGCUCAAGGAGCCCUGGUCUCGGGAUAAAAAGGAGUUCAAGGCCAGUUUCUGUUACGGGUCUGAGCCAAGCCACAUCACUUCUCUAAACAAGCACUGGCCUCCAGAUAAACAGUAUUAAAACAAUUACAACUCAUCCAGCUCACAGAUGCUGAUUCACUGAACCCCUGUUCCACCGACCAGAAACAGCUUUGACUGGACAAGAGGCUGAAUUCAGUAACUUUCUCCUGAUGAGAAGACCACCAGCCAUGGACUGGUUCUUGCUGGUUUACAGAGACUGCACACCUGUGUACCUUCAUGUCCUGAAAAGAUCUUUUGACAUAGGGGCUAGGUAUAAUACAUUUCAUCUAUUCAUUUCAAAAUGAACAUCGGUCAUAAGUUACAUGUAUGUUUAUCUAACAUGCCUGUGUCAGGACCACUUUCUUGAAUACUCAGCUCCUCCUGUAACUUGUUGAACAUGUAUGUUUAGCCAACCUUUUCAGCAUAAAACUCCUACCCCAACCCCUCCUCCUUCCAAACGCCUGUCUCUGGUCUUGGCUAGAGGCAGGCUUCCCAGCCUGUGGGACAACCACCUUGCAGGCUGUAACCUUUU